rnacentral:misc_RNA from 1 species
UGGACUCGCGGUCUGCGCAGACUGCUCCGCGCAUUCUACGGUUGACCCGGGAAGAAGGAAAGCAGGCCGGGCUCAUCGCUCCAAGGGCGCCUGAGAGGCGAGCAGGCGGCGCAGCCUGGGAUUGGUCAUCGCGAAUCGCGGCGGCCCCGAUGCGCACCAAGAGAAGCAGGAGCCGAUCAUGCGUGUCGUGCACGUCACCGGCGCGAAGGGCCCCUUCGAGCUCGUCAAGCGAGAGAUCCCGGAGCCCGGCCCGGGAUCCGUGCGUGUCAAGGUCGAGGCCUGCGCGGCAUCUGCCACAGCGACUUCGUGACGAAGGAAGGGAUCUGG